UACGAAGGGGGCUAGCGUUGCUCGGAAUUACUGGGCGUAAAGCGCACGUAGGCGGUUCGUCGCGUCGGCUGUGAAAACCCGGAGCUCAACUCCGGGCCUGCAGUCGAUACGGGCGGACUUGAGUGUUGCAGGGGAGACUGGAAUUCCUGGUGUAGCGGUGAAAUGCGCAGAUAUCAGGAGGAACACCGGUGGCGUAGGCGGGUCUCUGGGCCAUAACUGACGCUGAGGAGCGAAAGCGUGGGGAGCGAACAGG
rnacentral:rRNA from 1 species